CAGGCCCCUUUUGUGAUUCACGAAAAUGCGUGUUAAUACCAGCUGGAAACGGGGCCUGCGCUUGUGCUGUCACCAGGGUGUCAUCGUCACAAAGUUUCCUUGAUUCUGCAACAGCUGUAGAAACCUGACCUGGUGAGGACCCUCUCCUCCAUUGAACCUCUUAUAACAUUCGGACAAGGACAGACCAGCCUGUGACGUCCUAAGACACCCAAAUCCACCCCUGGUCCACGAUCAUACCCACACCUGUGUCUCAUCACAGUCCAUCACCAGUGUCUGCACCCUGCCUACUGCCAAUAUUAUGGAUUGCUGUUCUGUUAGAGAUAUGCCAUUCACAACAAUCGCUACACAAUAUCAAGUUCAAAUAAUUUAGUCUUGCCUAACAGUUUCCAUGAUUUCCCUGAAUACUGUUCACAAUGUAGCAUGAUCUCUCCUACCUUUGUGCAUUCAGUUAAAAUAUGUCCUUAAUAUUU